AAGGACGAACGCUGGCGGCGUGCCUAACACAUGCAAGUCGAGCGAGGAGAUCCUUCGGGAUGAUCCUAGCGGCGGACGGGUGAGUAACACGUGGGCAACCUGCCUCAUAGAGAGGAAUAGCCUUCCGAAAGGGAGAUUAAUACCUCAUAACAUUGCAGUUUCGCAUGAAACAGGCAAUUAAAGGAGCAAUCCGCUAUGGAGAUGGGCCCCGCGGCGCAUUAGCUAGUUGGUGAGGUAACGGCUCACCAAGGCGACGAUGCGUAGCCGACCUGAGAGGGUGAUCGGCCACAUUGGGACUGAGACACGGCCCAGACUCCUACGGGAGGCAGCAGUGGGGAAUAUUGCACAAUGGGGGAAACCCUGAUGCAAGCAACGCCGCGUGAGUGAUGACGGCCUUCGGGUUGUAAAGCUCUGUCUUCAGGGACGAUAAUGACGGUACCUGAGGAGGAAGCCACGGCUAACUACGUGCCAGCAGCCGC
rnacentral:rRNA from 1 species